AUGUUGAAAUGCAUUUUGAAAUUCUUUCUCAGAGCUCUAAAGAUACUGAUUCCAGUUACGGAUCUUGCUGCCAUUAAGCAGAGUGGGAUCAGUCCAGUUCACUGCGCAGCAGCAGGAGCACAUCCUCAGUGCCUGGAACUCCUCAUCCAGGCUGGAUUUGAUGUGAACUUCAUGCUGGAUCAGAGAAUUAGCAAACACUACGAUGACCACAGGAAGUCAGCUUUGUAUUUUGCCGUAUCAAACAGUGACCUCUCUUCAGUCAAGCUGCUUCUGAGUGCUGGAGCUCUGCCUAAUCAAGACCCGGUUAACUGCCUCCAGAUAGCCCUCAGGAUGGGCAACUAUGAGCUGAUCAGUCUGCUGCUAAGGCAUGGGGCCAAUGUCAAUUACUUCUGCAGAGUUAACCCUUUACAUUUCCCAUCAGCACUGCAAUACACUCUGAAAGAUGAAGUCAUGCUCAGGAUGCUGCUGAACUAUGGGUAUGACACAGAGCGAUGUUUUGAUUGCCCACAUGGAGACAAAGUCCAUCCUUCCUAUACUGUUGAAGGCUGGACAUCUACAGUUAUCAAAGAUACUAAGUUCUGUGAAGUAAUAACUUUGUCAUGGCUGCAACAUCUCUCUGGAAAGGUUGUUCGAGUGAUGCUUGAUUAUGUUGAUCAAGUUCGGAUCUGUUCAAAGUUGAAAGCUGUGCUCCAAAAACAGGGGAUCUGGUCAGAAAUACAUUUUAUCUUAACAAACCCUCGCUCCCUAAAACAUUUGUGCCGCCUAAAGAUCCGGAAAUGCAUGGGACGGUUACAUUUGCGCUGCCCUGUCUUCAUGUCAUUUCUUCCAUUACCCAAUCGUCUAAAAGCAUAUGUCCUUUACAAAGAAUACGACCUUUAUGGACAAGGAAUUUUUACAGGAACCUGGUAA
rnacentral:sRNA from 1 species